UACGGAGGGUGCAAGCGUUAUCCGGAAUUACUGGGCGUAAAGCGUGCGCAGGCGGCUUCUCAAGUCAGGGGUGAAAGUUUUCGGCCCAACCGGAAAAUUGCCUUUGAUACUGGCGAGCUGGAGUGCGUGAGGGGUGACCGGAACGAGUGGUGUAGCGGUGAAAUGCGUAGAUAUCACUCGGGAGGCCAACGGCGAAGGCAGGUCACUGGUCCGUUACUGACGCUGAGGCUCGAAAGCGUGGGGAGCAAACAGG
rnacentral:rRNA from 1 species